GGCCGAAUAGGAACAGCUCCGGUCUACAGCUCCCAGCGUGAGCGACGCAGAAGACGGGUGAUUUCUGCAUUUCCAUCUGAGUAUGGAUUUAUCAACACCUGUCUGCAAUCUCUUGUGAUAGAGAAAUUUGGUGAAGAAACAUGGGAAAAAUUGAAAAGCAAGUGCUCAGGGAAAUGAAGACAGGAGAACUGCUGCCGUCAUGAGCUAUGCCGACAGUCAGCAGCUGAUCCCCGACAGAAACGCAGCAGAUGCAGACGCUCCUGAUGAAAUCAUCCCUGUGGGGAGUGCAGGGCCAGAUGGGGACUCCAUGGAGACAGCCGACCGGCGACAGCCUUCAGCUCCGACAAAGACACAUCACCUUGCAAAUGACACUUUG
ensembl:lncRNA GUCY1B2 guanylate cyclase 1 soluble subunit beta 2 (pseudogene)